AAACCCUGCUCCACCCACAGCUUUCAUCAUCUCAGUUGAUGACAACUGCACCUUUCCUGCUUGCUCAGGUAAAAAUCUUGGAGUCAUCUUUGACUCCUUUCUCUCACAUCCACACACUCCACUGAUUCUACUUUUUGAAGUAUAUCCUAACCACUUCUUACCACCUCCACCGCUACCACCCUGGUUUAAGUUACCUUUAUCUCUCACUUGGAUUACUUGCAAAAACCUGCUGUCUGCUUAGACCCUUGACUCAGUAUAGUCUACUCUCAACACUGCAGGCAGAAUAAUCCUUUAAAAAUAGAAGACAGAACAUAUCAUUCUCCCGCAUAAAACCCUACAAUGAUCCUCUGUUGUCACUCAGAGUAAAAGCCACUGUCUUUAAGAUGGCCUGCAGGGUCCAACCAUGAUCUGGUCACCUAUUCUCUAACCUCUCUAAUACUCUUCUACCAUUUCUGUUUGGUUAACUCCCCAUCCCUCCAAGGCUUUAGUCAAAUCCCACCACAUAUGUUGCACCUACCUCUCUUCUCCUACUUCUGGCACCCUGAUUCCUCUUACCCUACACUAUCUUUUGUUUUACCAUAUCACAUAUAAUUAUCACUACCUCCCAUAUAAUUUAUUUAUCAUGUUGUCAUUUACUAUCAGACUCCCCUCUGUCUAAAACAUAAGGUGGGAAGCAAUGUCUGUUUUGUUCACCGCUGUAUCUCAAGGGCCUGCAGCACAUUGUAGGCCCUCAGUAAUAUUUGCUGAGUGCCCAUUUUCACCUCUAGCUUUCUGAUGGCUAACGCUUGUCCACAGCAAGCUGAUCCAGACAUACAACCCAACCCGUUCUUCAGGUUCAAUGAAGGGGGAAAAAUACACAUACACAAACCACCCAUACAUGUGGCUAACUUCAACGAAAAGCUAGAGGCAGAUAUAGAAGGGAGUUAACUACAGCAAUACAAGCAACUCCCACUUAACCGUUAGGUAUGUCUGUGUAUUUUUUAAAUGUCCUUUGGCCUCUCCCCACGAGGGAAUCUCAACUGGCCUUGGAAAAUUUAAAAAGAACUCCCCAUACUCCUAGGAAAAGACUCACAGCUCUAUAGCCAUGGCAACAAGUAAGUACUAGAAGUGGUUGUAAAUCAGUUAAAUCAAUCAAUGGCGUAGAGUCAUAGCAUAAUCCUAGUCAUAGUAACAAACACCAAAUCUGCUUUUAAACAAUUUUGUCUAUCAAUGGUAACUCGCUUCAGGAAAUACACUUCUGAAACCAACCAGUGACAGCUUUAAUCUUUGAAACUCAGGCAACUGAUGGCAGACUUUCCCAGGAACACACAUCUAAGGCUGAGGUCAACCCUGAAACAAACCAUUUCCCAAAACUCAAUGGAUAUAAGAUCAGCAGUUUGCAUGGCUCACCGAGACUCUGCCUGGCCAGCACGGCUCUCCCUGACUCCGGAUACUGAGUGUGAUUUCCUGGAUCCAAAACAAAAUCUGUGUAUUUAUUUCUUUGAAAACAUCAUUUGUUGACCGUCCUUUCACUGCCAUGGAAUGACUUGCUUUCUCAAUCCAGUGGAUUUUAUUAGGAGCUUGCAUUUUCUGUGCCACUUUCUCCAACAAGUUCUAAAGGGAAAAAAGAAGAGGAUACUAAUGUUCUACUGGUGUUCAGUAAAGAUUUCCUCUCUCCCACCGCACCUAUACUGGCAUCAUUCACUAAAUAUUAAAACCUAGUCUACAGCUAACUUUUGAGGCAAUGGAACGUGCAAGAAGUGGCAGUCCAUGUUCUUCAGAUACAGCAUACAGCAACACAACAGAACAGAUUAGCAUGUGGGAUCUUAGUUCCCCAACCAGGGAUCAAACCUGCACCCCCGGCAUUGGAAGCGCAAAGUCUUAACCACUGGACCACCGGGGAAGUCCCUAAAAUCAGCAUCUUUUUAAAGAGACUGAAUGUUGCAGGUAAUAUCUUGUUCCCAAGAUGUUUCUUUCAUUCUUUCUCUCUCAUUCACACAAAUAUCAAGUUAUAAUUCACCUUUUCACACAUUUCAUCUGCUGAGCCUGACACAAACAGUACAGGAUCUUUUAUACGAAAUAGAUCUUCAUCUCUAAGUUUAUGCUGCUGCUUUGGAUGGUGCAGUGGAUAGGAAAUACAAAUGAG